UACUAGAGUAGCACUCGCAUAUCAAUAAGCGGAGGAAAAGAAACUAACAAGGAUUCCCCUAGUAACGGCGAGUGAAGCGGGAAGAGCUCAAAUUUGAAAUCUUAAAGGGUUUCCCUUUACGAAUUGUAGUUUAAAGAAGUGUUUUCUGUUGAGGUUUUGGUAAAAGUUCUUUGGAAUAGGACAUCAUAGAGGGUGAGAAUCCCGUAUUUGACCUUUACUUUCAACUUUGUGAUACACUUUCAAAGAGUCGGAUUGUUUGGGAAUGCAGUCCAAAAUGGGUGGUAAAUUUCAUCUAAAGCUAAAUAUUGGCGAGAGACCGAUAGCGAACAAGUACCGUGAGGGAAAGAUGAAAAGAACUUUGAAAAGAGAGUUAAACAGUACGUGAAAUUGUCAAAAGGGAAGCGUUUGACACCAGUGUUGUUUUUCUGAAAAUCAAUUAAAGAACUGUUUAUGCUAAGCUGUUUAGACUUUAUCAGCUAAUCUGUUUAGUUUUGAGCUUUUCUUUAAUGCACUUUUCAGUUAACAAGUCAACAUCAAUUUCUUUUGCUGUAAAAAAGCUUGAGGAAGGUGGCUUGAGAUUCGUCUUAAGUGUUUAUAGCCUCUUGCCUAUGCAGUCGGAGAGAUUGAGGUCUGCAGCGUAGAUCCUUCGGGGCUAAAUGCAUUUGUGCUAAGUUAUAGCAUUUUAUAGACAACUUGUUGACUAUGAUUUGUCUUGUAGCUUACUCGCUUAUGUUAUUUUACCUACGCUUAGGAUGUUGAACUACUGAGACAUAGA
rnacentral:rRNA from 1 species